UCAGGUGUGGCAUGUGAUCACAGGCAACUCAGGAUCAGCUCUCCAGCCCCGGAACUUCUGCUGGAACUGCUGUGAGUUGAAAGCUUUCUUCCCACUGAGGGGCAAAGCUUCUAGGUAUCUGAAGAUGUUGAAGACCAUUUCUUGGAACAACAGAGGUAAAUGCCCAGAGGAUGAGAACAUGUAGCCAUUAGAAGAACCUGAAAGUUCGGUGUCACUGAAAGAUGAAGUUCAAUAGAAGGAACAAACUGCAAAACACAAGCUGGAGAGGUUUAGAGAGAUUGUGGAACGGAAUGACUCGCCGGAGCUGCAGAUUGAAGGUGUAUUUUCAUCUGACUUUGAUCUCAAUGGCAGGAACACCUUCAUGGCCUCUUUAUGGCCGGUAUGUUUUCUUCUCAUGGACAGUGAGAAACAUGUAAUAAAUUGUGUUUCCUUUUGCUAGGAAA